rnacentral:piRNA from 1 species
UGUGAUUUUAAAUCCAAAUCUUGCUUUUC